rnacentral:rRNA from 1 species
CCGCCGGCGACCGGCGCACGGGUGAGUAACACGUAUGCAACCUGGCCGUGACAGAUGGAUAACCGGGAGAAAUCCCGCCUAAUACAACAUAAUGCCGGGAGGGGGACAUCCCCUGCCGGCCAAAGGGGCGACCCCGGUCACGGAUGGGCAUGCGGCGCAUUAGGUAGUUGGUGGGGCAACGGCCCACCAAGCCGACGAUGCGUAGGGGUUCUGAGAGGAAGGUCCCCCACAUUGGAACUGAGACACGGUCCAAACUCCUACGGAAGGCAGCAG